rnacentral:rRNA from 1 species
GAGUUUGAUCCUGGCUCAGAACGAACGCUGGCGGCAGGCUUAACACAUGCAAGUCGAGGGAGAAGCUUGUCUUCGGAUGAGUGGAAACCGGCGCACGGGUGAGUAACGCGUGGGAAUCUGUCUUGGAGUGGGGGAUAACCGCUGGAAACGGCGGCUAAUACCGCAUACGCCCUACGGGGGAAAGAUUUAUUGCUCUGAGGUGAGCCCGCGUCCGAUUAGCUUGUUGGUGGGGUAAUGGCCUACCAAGGCGCCGAUCGGUAGCUGGUCUGAGAGGAUGGUCAGCCACACUGGGACUGAGACACGGCCCAGACUCCUACGGGAGGCAGCAGUGGGGAAUAUUGGACAAUGGGCGCAAGCCUGAUCCAGCCAUGCCGCGUGAGUGAAGAAGGCCUUAGGGUUGUAAAGCUCUUUCACCCGUGAAGAUGAUGACGGUAGCGGGAGAAGAAGCCCCGGCUAACUCCGUGCCAGCAGCCGCGGUAAUACGGAGGGGGCGAGCGUUGUUCGGAAUUACUGGGCGUAAAGGGCGCGUAGCGGGCUGGCCAGUCAGGGGUGAAAGUCCUAGCUCAACCUGGGGACUGCCUUUGAAACUGCUAGUCUUGAGUCCCGGGAGAGGAUGGCGGAAUUUC